GAUCAUUAUAAAUAGAGAUAAUUGUAGCAACAAGAAUGUUCAGUACAGUAAGAUCUACAUACACGUCACCAUCACCAAAACACAAUUUUGUCGUGAAUUUAUCUGUGUCCAUUGUUUAAUAUGCACAAAGACCAAGGUGAGCGACACAGGCUCUUGAGAGCCUCUAGUUUGGUCAUACACCUUAUGUUAAAAUUUCAUAGAUUUCUGUUGACUUAUACUAAAGUUAUUGUGCGAAAACCAAGAAAAAUGCUUAUGUGGGCCCUUUUUGGCCCCUAAUUCCUAAACUGUUGGAACCAAAACUCCAAAAAUCAAUCCCAACCUUCC
rnacentral:lncRNA from 1 species